rnacentral:rRNA from 1 species
CCUACGGGUGGCAGCAGUGAGGAAUAUUGGUCAAUGGACGCAAGUCUGAACCAGCCAAGCCGCGUGAAGGAAGACGGCUCUAUGAGUUGUAAACUUCUUUUGUAAGGGGGUAAACGCAGAUACGCGUAUCUUUCUGAAAGUAUCGUACGAAUAAGGAUCGGCUAACUCCGUGCCAGCAGCCGCGGUAAUACGGAGGAUUCAAGCGUUAUCCGGAUUUAUUGGGUGUAAAGGGUGCGUAGGGGGUCUGAUAAGUUAGAGGUGAAAUCCUGGGGCUCAACUUCGGAAUUGCCUUUGAUACUGGUCGGCUAGAGAGUAGUUGAGGUAGGCGGAAUGCAUGGUGUAGCGGUGAAAUGCUUAGAGAUCACGCAGAACACCGAUUGCGAAGGCAGCCUACCAAGCUACCUCUGACGUUGAGGCACGAAAGCGUGGGUAGCAAACAGGAUUAGAUACCCGGGUAGUC